rnacentral:rRNA from 1 species
AAUUAAUUAAAUUGUUAUUAUUUUGAUUAAAUGUGUUGAUUAAAUUAAGAAAAUAUGAUGUUUAUGUAAGGUUUAUUGAUAGAAUUGAUUUUACUAUAGUUUAUUAGUACUUUAAAGGAAAUUGAUUGUAUUUAUAUUAGUUAAAGUUAAUUUUAUUAAUUGUAUCUUGUGUUUCAGAGUAUAUCAAGAUAGUGUAUAAAUUUUUUUUUCUCGAAUUUUAAAGAUUUAAUUAAAUAAUUUAUUUAUUGUUGCAUAAAUAUUAAAAAUUUUUAAUUGGUAAUGAAAUGUUAAUCGUUUUUGAGGAUAUCUAGUUUUUUAAUAAAUGAAUUUAAUUCAGGAUAUAUAAUUUAUUAAAUGAUUUAAGUUGAUGGUAUUUUAUAUUUCUAAUUUUUGAAGGGUUAAGCUUUUGAAAAUAUUAUUAUAAUAGAAUUUUGAUUUAUGGGAUUUUAUAAAUUUAAAGUUUGUUAUUGAUUAAAGGAUGUUAAAAUUUAAUUCUUGUUUUUAAUGAUUUUUAUUUAUUUAAUUUUUAUAUUAAAAUGUAGAUGUUAAUUUUGGGGAUUUAGAAAUAAUGAUUUAAUUAGUAAAAUAAUUUUAUAAAUUUAUUGAUUUUAAGUUUUAUUUUAAUAUAAGGAAUUAGGCAAAGAUUUCGCUCACCUGUUUAUYAAAAACAUGGUUUCUUGAUAUAUUUAGGAAAUCUAACCUGCCCACUGAUAAUUUUGAAGGGCCGCAGUAUUUUGACUGUGCAAAGGUAGCAUAAUCAUUAGUCUUUUAAUUAAAGGCUUGUAUGAAUGGUUGAAUGAGGUGAAUACUGUUUUGUAUUAAUUGGUUUGAAAUUAGGAUUUGAGUAAAAAUACUUAACUGUAAUUAAGGGACGAGAAGACCCUAUAGAGUUUAAUAAAUGAAAUAAUAAGUUAGGUUGAUAAGGAUUUUUUAAUUUUUAUGGAGUUUAUUUAAUUGGGGUGAUUAAAAGAUAAAAAAAACUCUUUUUUAAUGUAAAUAUUAUGAUUAAUGAAAUGAUCCAUUGUUAGUGAUUGUAAGAUUAAAUUACCUUAGGGAUAACAGCAUAAUUUCUUUUGAGAGUUCAUAUUGAGAAAGAGGAUUGUGACCUCGAUGUUGGAUUAAGAUUAGUUUAAAAUGUAGAUGUUUAUAAUCUAGGUCUGUUCGACCUUUAAAAUCUUACAUGAUYUGAGUUYAAACCGGUGUAAACCAGGUUGGUUUCUAUCUUUAAUUUUAUUAAAUAUUUUAGUACGAGAGGACCAAAUAUUUAAAAUAAUUUGUAGUUGUGUGAAUAUUAUUAAGA